ACAUGUUUGUAUUUGCUCCUCCAAAAUUUGAAAGUCUGUGAUUCAAAAUUUCGCUUUUCCCAAAACAAAGUUAAAGAAAAUAUAUGAAGUCAAUGAUAAAUCUCAAAGUUUUACAAAGAAUAAUAAAUAGAAGUUAUUAAAUGUU
rnacentral:lncRNA from 1 species